CAAGUACGCCCCUGAGUGUGUGUAUGAAUUAUAGAGUGCCACAGUAAUAUGCAGUGUGUGUAUUAAUUAUAGAGCGCCACAGUAACAUGCAGUGUGUAUGUUUGAAUUAUAGAGCACCACAGUAAUAUGCAGUGUGUAUGUGUGAAUUAUAGAGCGCCACAGUAACAUGCAGUGUGUGUAUGAAUUCUAGAGUGCCACAGUAACAUGC